CGAGCACGUCCUCCGAGUUCACUUCACAGAUCUCCUCCACCAUUUUCAGUAUCGCGACCAACUCUUGUCUCACUUUCUCCAUUUUCAUCUCUCAUUUGUCUCUGCGAUUGGUCCGUUGCGCGUCUGCAAUAAGACUCUUUUUUUCAUUUAAAAAAAACGACGUGAAGAAGAUUGGACGACCUCAACCAUUUUCAUCUCUCUCCACUUGAAAAUACGACGCAAAUCUCCUCAGCCAUUUUCGUCUCCCCUCCACUGCAGAUUGGCCGAUCUCCUCCGCAACCUACCUCCUAAGCGUCAGAUCCUAAAGCUCGGCUACACUACUCCGCGGCUCCGCCACUCUGCAUCAUCUCUAGUAGAUUCAACUUGGGGUGGAUGGAACCCAGCCGGAUAGCUUGUCUGGGACACAACUGUAGCUACAAGUUAAUGUACCUGGGGAAAACCUGGGAUACAGCCGGAUAAAUAUUGUUCCAAAUUAGCAGAAUUGAAUCAUAAACUCUCUCAUAUCUGCAAGUUCAGCUAGCUUUCCUAGAAUUAAUGUAAGGGACCCAUACAAACGACUUGGAAUAAGCAGGGAGGCCUCUGAAGAUGAAAUUCAAGCUGCCAGAAACUUCCUUGUUCGUCAAUAUGUUGGGCAGAAACCAAGUGUGCUAUUGUCUUCCCCAAUUUUAUCCUUUAGAAUCAGACUUGUGCUUUGUAAUGUUAGAAUAAGCAAGUGUGGUUUUUUCUUUAAAACACAAGUUGUCUUGGGUAUUUUGAAUGUAUUUUAAUUAUUUUAUGAAUAUGGAUUUAUAUAAAAUGUGUACAGGCUUCGUAAAUGAAAAUGUGUACAGAAUUUAUAUAAAAUGUUUCUGGAUUCGUAAA